GAGCACGCUAGCUCUUGGCUCUGUGGACCGGCAGCCCAAGAACUGGUGGUAAUUAUGUCUGCCUGUGGGGGACACCAGCAGGAGCCAAACACAACAUGACACGCCUCCAGGGAGGGGGUACCCCUGGGUACAGAUACUUUCUAGACGCUUCUUUCUGGGGUCGUUGUUGGGAUGCCAGCAGCAGGUCCCGAGCGAGGCUCACUUGCUUGAUGGGGAGACUGUCUCAGGGAAGCCUCUGAGUAGGGCUGGGCCUCUCGCUUCAGGAACCCGUUCUUUGCAAGGAGACCCUGUCUGUAUUCUGCUUUGGUCCCUUCUCCAGCGAUGCCAGCCCAAGGCUAGCAAUAUGUCAGUAAGGACUGCUGGACUUUCCAAGAGGAACCUGGAAUCGGGGAAAUGGUGGGGGAAAUCA
rnacentral:lncRNA from 1 species